rnacentral:rRNA from 1 species
CAGCAGCCGCGGUAAUACGGAGGGUGCAAGCGUUAUCCGGAUUCACUGGGUCUAAAGGGUGUGUAGGCGGAUUGUUAAGUCAGUGGUGAAAUCUCCGGGCUCAACCCGGAAACUGCCGUUGAUACUAUCAGUCUUGAAUUCUGUUGAGGUGGGCGGAAUUGACGGUGUAGCGGUGAAAUGCUUAGAUAUCGUCAAGAACACCGAUUGCGAAGGCAGCUCACUAAGCUUUAACUGACGCUGAGGCACGAAAGUGUGGGGAUCAAACAGGAUUAGAUACCCUGGUAGUCCACACUGUAAACGUUGAUUACUCGCUGUUGGCGAUACACAGCCAGCGGCCAAGCGCAAGCGAUAAGUAAUCCACCUGGGGAGUACGCCGGCAACGGUGAAACUCAAAGGAAU